rnacentral:rRNA from 1 species
UACAGAGGUCUCAAGCGUUGUUCGGAUUCAUUGGGCGUAAAGGGUGCGUAGGCGGCGGGGUAAGUCUGGUGUGAAAUCUCGGGGCUCAACCCCGAAACUGCACUGGAUACUGCCUUGCUCGAGUACUGGAGAGGAGAUUGGAAUUUACGGUGUAGCAGUGAAAUGCGUAGAUAUCGUAAGGAAGACCAGUGGCGAAGGCGAAUCUCUGGACAGUUACUGACACUGAGGCACGAAGGCCAGGGGAGCAAACGGG